rnacentral:rRNA from 1 species
GACGAACGCUGGCGGCGUGCCUAACACAUGCAAGUCGAGCGAAUGAAGUUCCUUCGGGAACGGAUUUAGCGGCGGACGGGUGAGUAACACGUGGGCAACCUGCCUCAUAGAGGGGAAUAGCCUUCCGAAAGGGAGAUUAAUACCGCAUAAGAUUGUAGUACCGCAUGGUACAGCAAUUAAAGGAGCAAUCCGCUAUGAGAUGGGCCCGCGGCGCAUUAGCUAGUUGGUGAGGUAACGGCUCACCAAGGCGACGAUGCGUAGCCGACCUGAGAGGGUGAUCGGCCACAUUGGGACUGAGACACGGCCCAGACUCCUACGGGAGGCAGCAGUGGGGAAUAUUGCACAAUGGGGGAAACCCUGAUGCAGCAACGCCGCGUGAGUGAUGAAGGAAUUCGUUUCGUAAAGCUCUGUCCAAGGGGAAGAUAAUGACAGUACCCUUGGAGGAAGCCCCGGCUAAAUACGUGCCAGCAGCCGCGGUAACAC